rnacentral:rRNA from 1 species
ACCAGCUUGAAACUCAAAGGACUUGACAGUAUCUCAUACACCCCUAGAGGAGCCUGUCCUAUAAUCGAUAACCCACGCUAAACCUCACCUGCCUUUGCACCAAUCAGCCUAUAUACCUCCGUCGCCAGUGCGCCUGCUAACAGCUGCCAAAGCGCAUAAACUAGACAACCCCCUCACACGACAGGUCAAGGUGUAGCUAAUAGGCUGGACAGAGAUGGGCUACAUUUUCUUCGCUAGAAAACACCAAAAGUGCCAUGCAAACAGCACCACAAGGCGGAUUUAGCAGUAAAGAGGGCAAGACACACCCACUUGAAGCUUCCCAUGAGAUGUGCACACACCGCCCGUCACCCUCCUCAAAAAUACAUAACUUUAACUAAGACCAAAACAUAAUAAAGAUGAGGCAAGUCGUAACAUGGUAAGCGUACUGGAAAGUGCGCUUGGCCCACCUCAGAGGUAGCUUAACUAAAAGCAUUUGGCUUACAACCAAA